UACGUAGGGUGCAAGCGUUGUCCGGAAUUAUUGGGCGUAAAGAGCUCGUAGGCGGUUUGUCGCGUCUGCUGUGAAAACUCGGGGCUUAACCCCGGGCCUGCAGUGGGUACGGGCAGACUGGAGUGCGGUAGGGGAGAAUGGAAUUCCCGGUGUAGCGGUGGAAUGCGCAGAUAUCAGGAGGAACACCGAUGGCGAAGGCAGUUCUCUGGGCCGUAACUGACGCUGAGGAGCGAAAGCGUGGGGAGCGAACAGG
rnacentral:rRNA from 1 species